CUUGCUUCAUUGCUGUUGGUCUCUUCAUCAUGACUGCAGCAGUGAUUGUGAUCAACAUCAGGAGCAAAACUGAAGACACCGACUCCACAGCAGUUACCGACAAUGACUAUGUGUAAGCAUGAAAAAUCUGAAGAAAACAGAACAGGCCUGAAGAAAAGAAAAUAUAUAAAAAAAUAUAAAAAAGUAAAUAUAAAUGAAAAAUAUAUUCAUUAUAACCUAUAACUAGAGGUGUACAUAAGUGGUACGCAGCGACCAAAAUAAAAAAUGGGCUGUAUAAAUUCAGACCACUCAUGGUUGACAGCUGUUAAUGCACAAUUACCAUUUUAGAUCGACAAACUGUAGUACUGUACACUGCAAAAAAAAUUAUUUUCUUAGUUUGAUUUUUUUGUCUUGUUUCCAGCCAAAAUAUUGAAGCAAAAACUCGCUCAAUGUGUAAAUUUUUAGAUAUUUAGAAAAGCAUUUUAUGCAGUUUCUAUUCGAAAUGAAAGCAUAAAUCUAGACUAUGCAAUCCCAUUUUCAAAGCACAAUGCAAAACAGUGAUAAUUCAUUCACUGAUUCCUCAAUCGGCUCCACUAAACCAGAAAAUAUACUUACCUGCCGGUAACAUGGCAAAAUAAAGGCUUGCUGAUUUUAAGUAUGAAAAUGCUGAAAAUUUAUAUUAAAAAAGUAAAUAUUUGCAUUUUAUUUUAAGUUUACUAAAAAAUAAUUGUAUCUUUGUUUAAUACUCAGUUUUUAUUUUAAAAUAUUUAGUAUUUCAGUAAAUAUAAUAUCACACUUUAUUUUGUUUAUUUUAUUUUUAAAUAACUAAAUAAAGUGCAAUAGCAUUAUUGUCACUGUUAUUAAUGUAUUUUUUAUAUAGUUAUAUUUUAAUGGGUCAGGACAGUGUGAGGACUAAACCAAGUCUAAAGGUGCUCUUAUGAGAACCAGGCUAAAAAACUUAUGUGCACCCCUGCUUAUAACCAUAACCUUUUGCAUUUUUAUUUCAUUAGUUUUGUUGUUGUUGUUGCUUAUGCUGUAACGUUCCUUAUAAAUAUGUAUCUCUGGAUGAAAAAAAAUA